rnacentral:rRNA from 1 species
GACGAACGCUGGCGGCGUGCUUAACACAUGCAAGUCGAACGAUGAAGCUGGAGCUUGCUCCGGUGGAUUAGUGGCGAACGGGUGAGUAACACGUGAGUAAUCUGCCCUUGACUCUGGGAUAACUGCGGGAAACUGUAGCUAAUACCGGAUACGACACCUUCGGGCAUCCGAUGGGUGUGGAAAGAAUUUCGGUCAAGGAUGAACUCGCGGCCUAUCAGCUAGUUGGUGAGGUAAUGGCGCACCAAGGCGACGACGGGUAGCCGGCCUGAGAGGGUGACCGGCCACACUGGGACUGAGACACGGCCCAGACGCCGACGGGAGGCAGCAGUGGGGAAUAUUGCACAAUGGGCGAAAGCCUGAUGCAGCAACGCCGCGUGAGGGAUGAAGGCCUUCGGGUUGUAAACCUCUUUUAGUUGGGAAGAAGCGAAAGUGACGGUACCAACAGAAAAAGCACCGGCUAACUACGUGCCAGCCGCCGCCGUAA